GUGGAUUAGAUACCCGGGUAGUCCACGCGGUAAACGAUGGGCACUAGGUGUGGGGGGUAUCCACUCCUCCCGUGCCGAAGCUAACGCAUUAAGUGCCCCGCCUGGGGAGUACGGCCGCAAGGUUAAAACUCAAAGGAAUUGACGGGGGCCCGCACAAGCGGUGGAGCAUGUGGUUUAAUUCGACGCAACGCGAAGAACCUUACCUGGGCUUGACAUCCCUGGAACUUCCUGGAAACAGGGAGGUGCCCUCGAAAGAGGGAGCCAGGAGACAGGUGCUGCACGGCCGUCGACAACU
rnacentral:rRNA from 1 species